rnacentral:rRNA from 1 species
UACGGGGGGGGCAAGCGUUGUUCGGAAUUACUGGGCGUAAAGGGCGCGUAGGCGGUUCGCUAAGUUGGAUGUGAAAACUCUGGGCUCAACCCAGAGCCUGCAUCCAAAACUGGCGGGCUAGAGUUCUGGAGGGGGUAGCGGAAUUCCUGGUGUAGCGGUGAAAUGCGCAGAUAUCAGGAGGAACACCGGUGGCGAAGGCGGUUCUCUGGGCAUUACCUGACGCUGAGGAGCGAAAGUGUGGGGAGCGAACAGG